rnacentral:rRNA from 1 species
AACGAACGCUGGCGGCAUGCCUAACACAUGCAAGUCGAACGAAGUCUUCGGACUUAGUGGCGCACGGGUGCGUAACGCGUGGGAAUCUGCCCUUGGGUGCGGAAUAACUUCUCGAAAGGGAUGCUAAUACCGCAUAAUGUCGUAAGACCAAAGAUUUAUCGCCCAAGGAUGAGCCCGCGUAAGAUUAGCUAGUUGGUGGGGUAAAAGCCUACCAAGGCGACGAUCUUUAGCUGGUCUGAGAGGAUGAUCAGCCACACUGGGACUGAGACACGGCCCAGACUCCUACGGGAGGCAGCAGUUGGGAAUCUUGGACAAUGGGGAAACCCUGAUCCAGCCAUGCCGCGUGAGUGAUGAAGGCCUUCGGUUGUAAACUACUUUCGACGGGACGAGUAAUGACGGUACCCGUAGAAGAAGCUCCGGCUAACUUACGUGCCAGCAGCCGCGGUAA